GGCCAGUUAGCUCAUUCGGUUAGAGUGUGGUGCUGAUAACACCAAGGUUGAGGGUUCGGAUCCCCUAACUGGCCA